AGCCUAUAAUCUCUCACUCUUCACACCAACUUCAAUACGAAGGGGUGGAAAAACUGUUUUAAACACAUGAAAGCAACACUUUUCUAUUCACAAUACUAUCUUGUUCCUGGUUCUGCAGUGGUCAGUGUUCUUUGCCCUAAUUCUAUCAGCACUCACAUGUUCCUUUUCGUGUGUGCACCGUCACAUAAAUCAGUUCCUUGCCAAAGAAAUAAAAUUCCGCCGUGAGUAUAAAUGUUCCGUUCCGUUUAUAUUGUUUGGGCGAAAGCCAGAAAGGGGUCUGUCUGCAUCAUAAAAUGACGCGAGCAAAAUAUUUUCUUCGAGCUAAAUUAAAGUAUCGAUUCAGCAACUCCUGGAAAGACAAAAUAAUGUUCUCAAAAAUAGAAAUUACACGUCAUCGCACUACAUGUUGGUGAUACAGCUUUCUUCUGGUAUUCCAUGAUUAAUAAGAAACACAGGCUUCAACUACGGUUUUAAGAAUUGCUAAAUAUGUGAAUGUGAAAGGAAAAAGAGAUAAUCCAAAGGAAGACAUUGCGUGGAUGUCCUAAAUGAAGAUAGGUCAAUAUUAUCAACAGUGACUGUAGAGAAACGCGCUUUGAUUAUGUGGACUGAACUGGUUCAGGGUAUAAAUGCAACCUUCUUCAGGUUCUGCAAAAGCUAGGAAUGUCAGUAUCAACUCUCGAAGAAAAAUGUGUAAAUAAUAGAAAUUAGUAAUGAAAGAAAUCAUGCUACAGUCGUCUGUCAUGUAAAUGUAGGAAGAAAACUAAUCAAAAUAAAAUCUUGCCUUGAUGUUAUUAAAGAACUUUUGCACAAUCUGAAUUACGAUAAUCUCACUCAGAUAAAUCAAUCACGGCUCAAUUCGUGUUUCAGAAUGUCGUCUUUCCUGCACUCCCAGACAAAACUACAGCUGUUGCCAAUCAGAGUACUACACGGAUGAAUGCUUACUACUAGAAAUCAUUCAUGCCGAGAAUUCAAGGUCACGACAACAGCGAAGAACGAAGAGUCGAGAGUUUCCUGGUACAGAAACGGCGUAAUGGGAAUGCAUACACACGAUCUCUACUGACGUACUGCGAUCUGGCACAACGGAUGGCACUUCGCAUUCGGGAUGUCCCGGGUUCAAAUUCCCAAUAAAUGUUUUGUGGUUUUCCACAGUUCUACAUCCCGUUUCCACCAGGGACAAAAUCACUUCUCUCGCCUGCGAAGAGUGACUCAGCCUAUAGCAGGUGCCAAGAUGAGAUAUUUCAAGAGGAGCUCUUGGUUACCUUUGCUGCCGGGGGCAAAUGUAGCAAGCUGUGAAGGCCACGUCCCUUGAUUUAUUAACGAUGUGAGUAAUCAGUUCCAGCUUCUUGUCACAAGAUAAGUCAGCGGCUUUUUCUACACCACGCAACUAGUUUAGUAAGUGUAUGCAUCUCUUCCUGUCUAGCGACUCUGUGAGAGUCCAACUUGACCUAUAUUCUGUAUUCCCACUGUUGCCAACUAGACACUUCAAUGUUUCUCAUUAAACUAUUAAAUAUAAACAUUAAUAUUACGUG